rnacentral:rRNA from 1 species
AGUGAACGCUGGCGGUAGGCCUAACACAUGCAAGUCGAACGGCAGCACAGUAAGAGCUUGCUCUUACGGGUGGCGAGUGGCGGACGGGUGAGGAAUACAUCGGAAUCUACUUUUUCGUGGGGGAUAACGUAGGGAAACUUACGCUAAUACCGCAUACGACCUACGGGUGAAAGCAGGGGAUCUUCGGACCUUGCGCGAUUGAAUGAGCCGAUGUCGGAUUAGCUAGUUGGCGGGGUAAAGGCCCACCAAGGCGACGAUCCGUAGCUGGUCUGAGAGGAUGAUCAGCCACACUGGAACUGAGCCACGGUCCAGACUCCUACGGGAGGCAGCAGUGGGGAAUAUUGGACAAUGGGCGCAAGCCUGAUCCAGCCAUACCGCGUGGGUGAAGAAGGCCUUCGGGUUGUAAAGCCCUUUUGUUGGGGAAGAAAAGCAGCAGGUUAAUACCCCGCUGUUCUGACGGUACCCAAAGAAUAAGCACCGGCUAACUUCGUG